GAAUGGAGAUGGGAUUGAGAGGAAAGAUUAGAGGGGAGAAUGUGAGGGAGAAGUAAAAAAGUGAAAACAAAAAUUAAAAACUGAAAUCUAUUUGUAAUUGUUUUCACUUUUGUUAACUCAUCCCUCCUAUCCUCUCAUCUCAUCUUCUCUCUCAAUCUCACCCUCACUCC
rnacentral:miRNA from 1 species